ACCCGCUGAACUUAAGCAUAUCAAUAAGCGGAGGAAAAGAAACCAACAGGGAUUGCCCUAGUAACGGCGAGUGAAGCGGCAACAGCUCAAAUUUGAAAUCUGGCGUCUUUGGCGUCCGAGUUGUAAUUUGCAGAGGGCGCUUUGGCAUUGGCAGCGGUCCAAGUUCCUUGGAACAGGACGUCACAGAGGGUGAGAAUCCCGUACGUGGUCGCUAGCCUUUACCGUGUAAAGCCCCUUCGACGAGUCGAGUUGUUUGGGAAUGCAGCUCUAAAUGGGAGGUAAAUUUCUUCUAAAGCUAAAUACUGGCCAGAGACCGAUAGCGCACAAGUAGAGUGAUCGAAAGAUGAAAAGCACUUUGGAAAGAGAGUUAAAAAGCACGUGAAAUUGUUGAAAGGGAAGCGCUUGCAGCCAGACUUGCCUGUAGUUGCUCAUCCGGGUUUUUACCCGGUGCACUCUUCUAUAGGCAGGCCAGCAUCAGUUUGGGCGGUUGGAUAAAGGUCUCUGUCACGUACCUCCUCUCGGGGAGAACUUAUAGGGGAGACGUAAUGCAACCAGCCUGGACUGAGGUCCGCGCAUCUGCUAGGAUGCUGGCUUAAUGGCUGUAAGCGGCCCGUCUUGAAACACGGACCAAGGAGUCUAACAUCUAUGCGAGUGUUUGGGUGUCAAGCCCGAGCGCGUAAUGAAAGUGAACGGAGGUGGGAACCUUUCGGGGUGCACCAUCGACCGAUCCUGAUGUCUUCGGAUGGAUUUGAGUAAGAGCAUAGCUGUUGGGACCCGAAAGAUGGUGAACUAUGCUUGAAUAGGGUGAAGCCAGAGGAAACUCUGGUGGAGGCUCGCAGCGGUUCUGACGUGCAAAUCGAUCGUCAAAUUUGGGCAUAGGGGCGAAAGACUAAUCGAACUAUCUAGUA
rnacentral:rRNA from 1 species